ensembl:lncRNA
ACAAGCAGUUAACAAAAAUUAGACAUUUUUUAUAAAAAUAAAGUAUUUAUACUUUUUUUAUAAUAUAGUUAUUUUCAACCUUUUUUUUUUUUUUUUUUUUUCUUUUUUUUAGAUUUGUUUUACCAGUUAAAAUUGACAUACUUGCUUUUACAUGGAUAUGCAGCAUUUAACCUAAUAUUAAUGUUCCUAUUAUUAUAUACAAACUAUGUAGAAAAGCUUAAAAAAUAUAUAGAGAAAUGUUUUGUUAUAUACAUGAACGUAGUAAGUAACGAACAAAAAAAAAAAUAAAAUAUAAUAAAACAUAUGUGUCUUUUACUUAGUUAAAUAUAUAAUACGAUUAUUAUUCAUCAGUUUAUCCGUUUACCCUUAUAUCCGCUUAUCUAUUUUAUUUUUCCAUGUUUUUUUGUAGGUAUUAAUUUUAUGGGUUUCAUGGUUGUUCAUAUUAUUUAUUGAGGUUAAAUAUCAUUUACCAAAUGACACGACAAAAAAGCAAUUUUUAUUUGCAAUAUACACGCCUUAUACAAUAAAAAUUUUUUUCUCUUUGUAUGCAUACCUUCCGCUUUUUUUUUUAAUAACCGUUGUACCGUGCAGGUGGAUCGAAAAAAAAAAAAAAUAGAAUAAAAUAAUACUUAAUACAUUGUACUAUACUGUAUUGUGUUGCAUCAUAAUACAUUAUUUUCGCGAAAAAGUAAAAAAAUUAAUUUUAAAUUCUAAUUCUUUUUCAAAUAUAAAAAAAUUUAGACAUGUAAGGUUGUACAUAUAUACACACAUAUAUAUAUAUAUAUAUAUAUAUAUAUGUAUUUUUAUUUUUUUAAUAGAUUAUGUUACACCUUUUAUUAUGACAUAACGCUGCUUAUAAUAAAAGUUGCAAUUUAUACCUAUUACUUCAUCGUAACAGUGAAAAAAUAUUUCCUAAUAGACAAAAUUUUUAUGAUGAUAUCAGUUGUUAUAGGAAGUUUUUUUAUUUUUAUUUUAAGGCAUAUUUUUGAAUACCAAAGACGAUUAACAUUUCAUAAUUCUAAUAAACAUAAUAAUCAGAUUAUGGAUUUAAAAAUCAACUUAAAAGAAAAAGAGAAGUUAGCUGUAACAAAUAUUGAAACAAUUCAUGAUUUAAUCAACGACUCUUUAAAAAAUUUUUAUAAUAACGAAACAGAAUCAGCCAAUGACAACCAGCGUGUGCUUAAUAAUUUAGAAAAAGUUUUAAGCAUUUUAAAAGAAGAUAAUUUAUUUUCGCCGGAGUUGAAAACGACAACACAAAAGAAUUAUAACAAUAUAUAUGAUUAUAUAAUGAGUAUAAAACAAAGUAAAUAUUUUUCAAGUAUUACUGAUACAUCGAAUAAGGAUUUAGCAUCACAUGAAUCUAAAUAUAUUAAAGCAGAAGAGACCAACGAAUUCAAAGAUGAAUCACAGACAGAGUCUAUUACUGAAUCAUUGUCAGAAUUAAAACCUCCGAGUAAAACUGAUUUACCAUCUAUUGACGAUUUGAAUGAAAAACAAUUGAAAAAUUCAAAAUAUACAAUUAAUAUAAACAUGGACACUGAAAAUAUAGACGUCAAUCAAUGGGACGUAAAAUUUUUAAAUAGACCCCAACUAAAUUAUGAUAUAUUCAUUCAAAUUGGCAAAAAAUUGUUAAGUACUUGUUACACUGAUAAUCAACAGAUCUCAGAUGAUACAUUAUUCUCACUACUUCAUGAAAUGAAAAAUGGAUAUAACAAUGUUCCAUAUCACAACUGUAUCCAUGCGGCAAUGGUAAAAGACAUACAUACAUAUACAUAUAUACAUACAUAUAUAUAUAUAUAUAUAUAUAUAUAUAUAUAUAUAUAUAUAUACACACAAAUUGGCUCUUUUACACAUAGGUAACCCAACACUGUAACAUUUUAGUAAAUAACUUAGAAACAUCAAACAUAUUAAAAGAUAACGAGCUUGCGGCAUUUUUUAUCUCAACUUUAGGUCAUGAUAUAGGCCACUUUGGAAGAACGAACUUUUUUCUUAAAAACAAUUCGAACUUUUUAAAUAUGAUUUAUAAUGAUAAAUCAAUUUUAGAAAAUUAUCAUUGUUCUUAUCUAUUUAGUAUAUUAAAUAAGGAUAAAAAUAAUAUAUUCAAAAAUGAGACUUCUAAAAGUUUAUUAAAUUUAAGGAAUCAGAUAAUAGAAGUAAUUUUAGCGACAGAUAUGAGUAAACACAUAAAAAUAUUAGCACAAUUUCGUAUAAAAUCCAUUAAGAUAAAAUCAUAUGUUGAAAAAAACAUUUUGUUAUGUUUAAAAAUGGUUAUAAAAGCAGCUGAUUUGGCACAUAACUGUGUUGAUUGGGAUGAGCAUUACUUAUGGGUAAAACGAUUAAUAAAUGAAUUUUAUUGUGAAGGAGAUGAACA